AAUCCUGUAACCUGUGAUUUAACAACAAUUGGAGCCCAGUUUGCAGUAGCAUGGAAACCAGUCCCUAUAUGCAUGCUGGCUGUGUUUAACUUAUUCUUGAGGGUCUCCAUAUCUAUAACUAUUUAGUAUACCCAUAGUGGUUCCAGCACCUCCUAACAGUGUGUCAUACCAUUCCCUUUUCUGCCUUUUGUUUGCUGUGUUACAUAUUGUUACAACAGGAGUAGUGAUUUUUAAUGACAUAUGUACAGCUUGUAAGAAGGCAGUUGUAUUAAUACAUGUGGACGAAAUAGGUGUGUGUGUCGUUGUUGACUUUUGGUUCUAUGGUAGAGGAUAAAGGACAGUAAUAAGGUGUAAAAAUAUAAGGUAGUGUAUAGUUCUCAAUUGUAGUGUCGUUCAUAAUGACUAACAUUUGUCCCCUUCUCCGAUUAAUGAUACCAGUUAUAUAAUCAUUAUUAAAAGUAAUAAGGCCUGUCUGUUUACAUUGAUAUGCAACCUUAACUGUGCACAUUUCUGCGUUAUAAGAUCUAACAAUUUUCUGUGAACCUUUAAACAAACAUAAUGCAUCGGUUUCAUUAGCUGUGGACACAUUUCAUAUGGGUAACUGGUACUUAUAAGGGUUAUUAUUUAUCCAAUUCAUCCAAAUGCGUUAAUUGAAUGAAUGAUUGCAUAUUACAAGCUGAUAGAAAGGUGGUGGAGAAAGGUUCUUGAGGGGGCGUGUGUGACGAAUGCUAGAUGAGGGGCUAAGGCCUAAUUGGGCUGGGGGUAUUGAAGAAUUGUUCAUCAUGUCAGAGUCUUUUUUCCAGAAACAAACAGGUUUCAAACUUCCCAUUGACUUGUACUCAUAAUGGCAUUCAAGGAACAAUAUCAGAGGGAGUAUAACAACUCCAGAAAGCAUAGCGCACAACAUAAUCUUGGUCUCAGGUAUGUAUGAUCCUCUCAAUCUACGAUAUGGUGUGAAAGCCAUGAUGCUUCGCUGAGGAGAAAUUCUUCUGUUUCCGAGCGAGGAGUGGUGUUGUCUUCCUUAGUUCCCCUCUUUGGACACAGCUUCACUCGGGAUGCGUGAAUCCAGAUGUCAUGGGAAUCUGUAAGGACAGCGGUUCUGGGUACAGCAAUCACAGUAGCAGGUGGUCCAAAAGGGUAUCCUCCUUUCUUGGUCCUGUUCAGCUGACGGAUAUACACCUUGUCACCGGACUGGUAUAAAUGAGUAGGUUCCUGUGAAGGUAAGGGAAAACUGCGAAGAAACAUUGUCAUACAUACCAUUCGGUUUUAUCAACAAUUCCUGUACAUAUUGUUCUUGUAUAAGCUGUAAAUCCCCAGACAUUAUAACAAGCGGUUCCCUGGCCCAGGGUGUGGGAAAAGGUCAUCCCAUCAAAAUCUCAAAUGGAGAUAAUUUAGUCACCUUGUGGGGAUUCAUUCUUAUCUCAGCUAAAAUAGCUGGUAGAUAUCUAGUCCAAUUUACCCAUGUGCCUGGGUAAAUUCUGUGCUUUUCCUUAAUAGUCCUAUUCAUCCUUUCAACUACCCCUGUAUUCUGUGGAUGAUAGGGUAUAUGAAACUGCCAGGUAACUUGCAAGAAUUUAGCAAGUUCCUGGGCAACC